rnacentral:rRNA from 1 species
AUGAGGCGAACCGGGGGAACUGAAACAUCUAAGUACCCCGAGGAAAAGAAAUCAACCGAGAUUCCCCCAGUAGCGGCGAGCGAACGGGGAGGAGCCCAGAGCCUGAAUCAGUGUGUGUGUUAGUGGAAGCGUCUGGAAAGGCGCGCGAUACAGGGUGACAGCCCCGUACACAAAAAUGCACAUACUGUGAGCUCGAUGAGUAGGGCGGGACACGUGGUAUCCUGUCUGAAUAUGGGGGGACCAUCCUCCAAGGCUAAAUACUCCUGACUGACCGAUAGUGAACCAGUACCGUGAGGGAAAGGCGAAAAGAACCCCGGCGAGGGGAGUGAAAAAGAACCUGAAACCGUGUACGUACAAGCAGUGGGAGCCUCUUAAUGGGGUGACUGCGUACCUUUUGUAUAAUGGGUCAGCGACUUAUAUUCUGUAGCAAGGUUAACCGAAUAGGGGAGCCGAAGGGAAACCGAGUCUUAACUGGGCGUUAAGUUGCAGGGUAUAGACCCGAAACCCGGUGAUCUAGCCAUGGGCAGGUUGAAGGUUGGGUAACACUAACUGGAGGACCGAACCGACUAAUGUUGAAAAAUUAGCGGAUGACUUGUGGCUGGGGGUGAAAGGCCAAUCAAACCGGGAGAUAGCUGGUUCUCCCCGAAAGCUAUUUAGGUAGCGCCUCGUGAAUUCAUCUCCGGGGGUAGAGCACUGUUUCGGCAAGGGGGUCAUCCCGACUUACCAACCCGAUGCAAACUGCGAAUACCGGAGAAUGUUAUCACGGGAGACACACGGCGGGUGCUAACGUCCGUCGUGAAGAGGGAAACAACCCAGACCGCCAGCUAAGGUCCCAAAGUCAUGGUUAAGUGGGAAACGAUGUGGGAAGGCCCAGACAGCCAGGAUGUUGGCUUAGAAGCAGCCAUCAUUUAAAGAAAGCGUAAUAGCUCACUGGUCGAGUCGGCCUGCGCGGAAGAUGUAACGGGGCUAAACCAUGCACCGAAGCUGCGGCAGCGACACUAUGUGUUGUUGGGUAGGGGAGCGUUCUGUAAGCCUGUGAAGGUGUACUGUGAGGUAUGCUGGAGGUAUCAGAAGUGCGAAUGCUGACAUAAGUAACGAUAAAGCGGGUGAAAAGCCCGCUCGCCGGAAGACCAAGGGUUCCUGUCCAACGUUAAUCGGGGCAGGGUGAGUCGACCCCUAAGGCGAGGCCGAAAGGCGUAGUCGAUGGGAAACAGGUUAAUAUUCCUGUACUUGGUGUUACUGCGAAGGGGGGACGGAGAAGGCUAUGUUGGCCGGGCGACGGUUGUCCCGGUUUAAGCGUGUAGGCUGGUUUUCCAGGCAAAUCCGGAAAAUCAAGGCUGAGGCGUGAUGACGAGGCACUACGGUGCUGAAGCGACAAAUGCCCUGCUUCCAGGAAAAGCCUCUAAGCAUCAGGUAACAUCAAAUCGUACCCCAAACCGACACAGGUGGUCAGGUAGAGAAUACCAAGGCGCUUGAGAGAACUCGGGUGAAGGAACUAGGCAAAAUGGUGCCGUAACUUCGGGAGAAGGCACGCUGAUAUGUAGGUGAAGCGACUUGCUCGUGGAGCUGAAAUCAGUCGAAGAUACCAGCUGGCUGCAACUGUUUAUUAAAAACACAGCACUGUGCAAACACGAAAGUGGACGUAUACGGUGUGACGCCUGCCCGGUGCCGGAAGGUUAAUUGAUGGGGUUAGCGGUAACGCGAAGCUCUUGAUCGAAGCCCCGGUAAACGGCGGCCGUAACUAUAACGGUCCUAAGGUAGCGAAAUUCCUUGUCGGGUAAGUUCCGACCUGCACGAAUGGCGUAAUGAUGGCCAGGCUGUCUCCACCCGAGACUCAGUGAAAUUGAACUCGCUGUGAAGAUGCAGUGUACCCGCGGCAAGACGGAAAGACCCCGUGAACCUUUACUAUAGCUUGACACUGAACAUUGAGCCUUGAUGUGUAGGAUAGGUGGGAGGCUUUGAAGUGUGGACGCCAGUCUGCAUGGAGCCGACCUUGAAAUACCACCCUUUAAUGUUUGAUGUUCUAACGUGGGCCCCUUACCGGGGUUGCGGACAGUGUCUGGU